GCCGCGUGGGUGAUGAAGGCCUUCGGGUUGUAAAACCCUUUUCUGGGGGAAGAGGAAGGACGGUACCUCAGGAAUAAGCCUCGGCUAACUACGUGCCAGCAGCCGCGGUAAAACGUAGGAGGCGAGCGUUAUCCGGAUUUACUGGGCGUAAAGCGCGUGCAGGCGGUUCUGUAAGUUGGAGGUUAAAUCUCUUGGCUCAACUAAGAGGCGUCCUUCAGAACUGCAGGACUUGAGGAUGGGAGAGGGAAGUGGAAUUCCAGGUGUAGUGGUGGAAUGCGUAGAUAUCUGGAGGAACACCAGUGGCGAAGGCGGCUUCCUGGCCCAUUUCUGACGCUAAGACGCGAAAGCGUGGGGAGCGAACGGGAUUAGAUACCCCGGUAGUCCACGCUGUAAACGAUGGAUACUAGGUGUCGGUGGUAUUGACCCCACCGGUGCCGUAGCUAACGCGUUAAGUAUCCCGCCUGGGGACUACGGCCGCAAGGCUAAAACUCAAAGGAAUU
rnacentral:rRNA from 1 species